CCGCUACCAAGCCCUCUGCCUGCCUGCUGCCUCUGGACCCUCCUGGUUCCCCUCCUCUGCCGCUCAGCUCAAACCACUGAACAGAGAAACCAGUCGUGACCAGUCUUGGACCUGUUUCCCCCCGAAUCAGUUCUUUAUUAACAUUGUGUAUCUAAAUAAACUGUUGAAACUUU